AUAUAUUUUUCGCAUAUUCUUUAAUUUUAUUUUGCAGGUAACAAAAAUACUCGUGAGGAGAUUGCCUGCAAUAAUUUACAUAAUAACAACCCAGAUCACACUUCAGACCUAUACACACUUCAAAAUCCAAUAUAUGAAACAAACAGCCGUGCAGAAAAAGAGGAAGGAAAUUCUUCUAAUACUACAGUCUACGCCAUCGUCAAUAAAGACAGAAGAGCAGUUUACUGAACUGGGAGAAAACAGAUCCAGCCGGGUUCUAUAAAACAAGUUCUGACUGAGAUGUAUUUUUGUUAGCAUCAAUUAAACAUUUAAAGGUAUCUCUAAAUAGAAGGCAUGCAAUUAAUAUUUGCCAAGGAAAUGAUGUGCCUUUUGGUUUUGUCUGCAGGGAUGUUAAAAAGUUAACUAAAUAUUUUUUAUUGUGGUCUUGUAAUUGCUUUUUCUUUCAAAAGUAAGACUAUUUAGUUUAUGCAAAAAAAGUGAAACAAAUUUAAUUAAUGAAAUCCUGA